GUUUAAUAUGGAAGAAGAGAAGGUUAGCACUCGCCUUGACAAGGAUUAGAAGAGGCCCUUGGCCUGACAACAUGCAUAUGGUCAAAGCAUUGCCACCUACUUUGUGGCAUCUAACCAUUUUUUUAU